AUUGAACGCUGGCGGAAGGCCUAACACAUGCAAGUCGAGCGAGCGGCGGACGGGUGAGUAAUGUCUGGGAAACUGCCUGAUGGAGGGGGCUAACUACUGGAAACGGUAGCUAAUACCGCAUACCAUCAGAUGUGCCCAUAUGGGAUUAGCUAGUAGGUGGGGUAACGGCUCACCUAGGCGACGAUCCCUCGCUGGUCUGAGAGGAUGACCAGCCACCCUGGAACUGAGACCCGGUCCAGACUCCUACGGGAGGCACCAGUGGGGAAUAUUGCACAAUGGGUGCAAGCCUGAUUCAGCCAUGCCGCGUGUGUGAAGAAGGCCUUCGGGUUGUAAAGCACUUUCAGCGGUGAGGCGUUACCCGCAGAAGAAGCACCGGCUAACUCCGUGCCAGCAGCCGCGGUAAUAC
rnacentral:rRNA from 1 species